rnacentral:misc_RNA from 1 species
UCCAGACUCACUUUCUUUAUUACGAACUACAAGAAGCUUUGACCCUGAUGGUGACGGAACAACUGCAGACACACCAAUCAUUUCAACAGGAAAAGGAGACCAUUGGAAAUCUACAGAACCGUCACCAAUCUUUGAAAUAUGAGAUGAUAGAAUAAGCGUUUUCUUUUUAUUAGCCAAGAGGUUACUUUGACCAAUGGAAAACAUUGCCCGAGAACUUUUUGCAUUCUCAGACUUGAAAGUCCAGGCUUUGUUAAUGCUGGGAACAUUAGUAAAUUCUUGAAGCAAUUUAGAAAGAGAAGUAUAUUCUUCCACUGUUGCUGUAUCAAUUCCAUGCAGUGUUUCCUUCUCCAUAACAGCCCCAGGAACUUGCAUAGCUGAUUGGAUCAAUAUGGCACGACUAUAUAAUGGGGGGAGGAAUCUUCUUGAAUCAGCGGGGCGGAGUGAUGAUUGACGCCGAGGGACUGCAAGCAGACGACGAGGGAAGAAAUUUGACGUUUG